rnacentral:rRNA from 1 species
GGGUCAGGAGGGUGCUCGUGCCACCGGUACGUACUGGUCUCACUGAUUCCUCCUUCCUGAAGAACCGUAAUGCCAUUAAUUUGGUGUUGCGGGGAAACAGGACUGUUACUUUGAAAAAAUUAGAGUGUUUAAAGCAAGCUAACGCUUGAAUACAUUAGCAUGGAAUAAUGAAAUAGGACGAUCGAUCCUAUUUUGUUGGUUUCUAGGAUUGACGUA